rnacentral:sRNA from 1 species
GUUUAGCCCUGAUGCUGAAAUUGUUUGAGCUCUUGUCUUGUUUUCAAAACAAGACAAAGCGAGUUUAAGCAGCAGGAAUAGGG